rnacentral:misc_RNA from 1 species
UCCCGGUUGGCCCGGGCAGUUUCGUAUGAAAAAUUCAACAUACGAUAAGGGUUGCGCUCGUUGCGGGACUUAACCCAACAUCUCACGACACGAGCUGAAGACGGCCAUGCAGCACCUGUCACCAGGCUCCAAAAGGCACUCCCGGCUUUCGCCAGGAUUCCUGGGAUGUCAAACCUCGGUAAGGUUCUACGCGUAGCUUCAUAUUAAACCACAUCAUCCUCUGCUUGUGCGGGUCCCCGUCAAUUCCUUUGAGUUUUAAGCUUGCGCUCGUACUCCCCAGGCGGUGUGCUUAACGCGUUAGCUGUUCAGCCCAAGGGGUCGAUACCUCGAACUAAUAGCACACAUCGUUUACGGCGUGGACUAC